rnacentral:rRNA from 1 species
CGGGGCUUAAAGUCUUGUAAUUGGAAUGAUGGGAAUUUAAUCCGCUUCCAGAGUAUCAAUUGGAGGGCAAGUCUGGUGCCAGCAGCCGCGGUAAUUCCAGCUCCAAUAGCGUAUAUUAAAAUUGUUGCAGUUAAAAAGCUCGUAGUUGAAUUUCUGCUGCAUUGCUUGUGUCCCUCUGGGGUCUGUGCAUGUGGCUUUUUUCGGACGGAGUUUCUUUGUCUGAAUGUUUACUUUGAGAAAAUUAGAGUGCUCAAAGCAGGCUUUCGCCUUGAAUAGUUUAGCAUGGAAUAAUAAAGUAGGACUUUGGUUCUAUUUUGUUGGUUUUAGGUACCAAAGUAAUGGUUAAUAGGAACAGUUGGGGGCAUUCGUAUUUAACUGUCAGAGGUGAAAUUCUUAGAUUUGUUAAAGACGAACUACUGCGAAAGCAUUUGCCAAGGAUGUUUUCAUUAAUCAAGAAC